rnacentral:rRNA from 1 species
CCUACGGGUGGCAGCAGUAGGGAAUAUUGCUCAAUGGGGGAAACCCUGAAGCAGCAACGCCGCGUGGGGGAUGAAGGUUUUCGGAUUGUAAACCCCUUUUGUUAGAGAAGAAAAUGCCGGUAUGUAACGAAUAAGCACCGGCUAAAUCCGGGCCAUCAGCCGCGGUAAUACGGAGGGUGCAAGCGUUACUCGGAAUCACUGGGCGUAAAGAGGGCGUAGGCGGGUUAGCAAGUCAGAUGUGAAAUCCUAUGGCUUAACCAUAGAACUGCAGUUGAAACUGGUAUACUAGAGUAGGGGAGAGGUAGGUGGAAUGCUUGGUGUAGGGGUGAAAUCCGUAGAGAUCGAGAGGAAUACUGAUUGCGAAGGCGACCUGCUAGAACCUAACUGACGCUGAGGCGCGAAAGCGUGGGGAGCGAACAGGAUUAGAUACCCUAGUAGUC